UUUAUUAUUGAUUUUGCCAGUGAAUGUUAAGUUGUGUGGGGAGAUUGACUGUUUCAAGUGAUUAGGUUGCAUGUUGCUGUGGAUGGAGGAAUAGAUGAAGUUUAAAAUAAAUAAAGCAGGAAAUUAAGAAGGAACAAGAAAAAAAAAAAUCUUAUUUUCUUGAUCAGUAAUGGUGAAGAAUUUAUCACAGCACUUGAUGAUUUUGUUCCUGUAUGCACUGUCACCAUCACUGUAGGCAGACUGUACUCAGCGUCAUGCCGUGAGAUGCGCUGGCAGUCUUGUUGCUUGGAAAGAAGUGUGUACAGAUCAGUGUGCCAGUGUGUGUGAUGACGGGACCUGUGUGAGGAGACGCGGCACCAUGGCAAACACACACACUCUCUACCAGCUGCUAACACAGGCCGAGGCGGAGCCGGAGUGUGUGGAGAUGAGCGAGGCGCAUGGCGGGGUCGGGACGCGAUCCCACGCCCGCAGCGCCUCGCAUGGCGGGAUUAUGCUCACCCGCGAUGCAGGUGGCGGGCAUGGGGGGCCGGUGCCGGCGGCCGCAGCGGGGCCGGCAACGGCAGCGACAGCGAGCGGCGGAGGGCCAGGGCGUGGCCAUCAGCGCACCUUCUCCCAUGGCUACCUGGUGGAGGGAGGGCGCGGCCACCGACGGAUGGCCUCCAAGACUGAUUUCAUCCUGCCGGCGGGAUACGAACAGCGGGAGCGGGAACGGGAGCGUGAGCGAGCAGAGUCCGGGACGGGGUCAGGCCUGAAGAAGGGCCACACCCGCCAGGCCUCCCACACCGACAGCGUGUACACCAUCAGGCAGAACAAGCCCUCGCUGCUCAGAAGACUCAUGUUCUGGAAGAAGGGCUCUGAGGAAGGGCGGACGCGUCUGGUGCACCCUAACCACGAGGUCGCAGCCGGGGACAUCAACCCCAACGAAGCCUUCCCCGACAACUCCAUCUGCACCACUAAGUACACGGUGCUCUCCUUCCUGCCCAAGAACCUGUUUGAACAGUUCCACAGGUUCGCCAACUUGUACUUCCUGUUCAUCGUGCUGUUGAAUUUCGUGCCUGCGGUGAACGCGUUCGGCAAGGAGGUGGCCAUGCUGCCGCUCAUCUUCGUGCUGGGCAUCACCGCCAUCAAGGACGCAUUCGAGGACUACCGCCGCUACAAGUCAGACCUUAGGGUGAACAAUGCCACCUGUCGCGUCUACACCAGGGACCAGAACCGCUAUGUCAAGAGGUUGUGGAGCGACGUGCGAGUGGGAGAUGUGAUCCACCUUUCCUGCAAUGAGGUCAUCCCGGCAGACAUGGUGGUACUGAACUCCUCAGAUGAACAUGGUCUGUGCUUCAUCGAGUCAUCAAACUUGGAUGGGGAGAGCAACCUGAAGCAGCGGCAGAGUGUGAAGGGUCUCAACCUUGGCUUGCAAGAAGAGUUCCAAGUGACCCAGUUCAGCUACAUGAUGGAGGUUGGGCCACCCACCACCAAGAUGUACCACUUCACGGGCACCAUUCCUCUCGCCACUGGGGAGCGCGUGCCCCUCUCUAAAGACAAUCUUCUCCUCAGGGACUGCACCCUCAGAAACACAGAUUACAUAGAAGGAGUUGUUGUUUAUGCUGGUCGGGAGACCAAAGCCAUGCUAAAUAAUGGAGGAACAAGAUACAAACGAUCACGGUUAGAACGGAGGAUGAACCUAGAAGUGAUAUGGUGUGUUGUGAUCCUCUUCUUCAUGUGCCUCAUCUCUGCCACAGGCUCUGGACUCUGGCAGAGUCAGUUUGAAGUGAACAUCUCACAGGGACUAGUGCCAUUCCUGCUGCCUCAGGCGAGUGGUACCCCACUGCCCCCACCCCGUCAGCUCAACAGUCCUGUCUGGGUGGGCUUCAUCAGCUUCUGGACUUUCAUUAUCAUUUAUCAGGUGAUCAUCCCCAUCUCACUGUAUGUUACCAUAGAAGUCAUCAAACUCAUGCAAGUGUACCACAUCCAUCAAGAUAAAGACUUCAAGGACAAGAAAAGUGGCAAAACCAUAGAAUGCCGAGCCCUGAACAUCCCUGAAGAGUUGGGUCAGAUUGAGUACGUGUUCACUGAUAAGACCGGAACAUUGACUGAAAAUCAGAUGGUGUUCCAGUGUUGCUCCAUCAAUGAUGUGGACUAUUCACACACACCCAUCAUCAACACCUCCAGCUCCAGCAGCAGUCAGGGCUCCAACCAGCAAGAAACCUUUGCCCUGAACGCACAGCUUCAAGAAGAACUGUCUGCCAUAGAACUGCCACUUAUUUAUGCUCAACCACGCCAUCACCAACCUCCUGCUGUGCCACAAAACUCACCCCAGGAGAGGAUGAUAGACUUCUUCCUCACACUGGCAGCCUGCAAUACUGUGGUUGUGGCCAAGCACCCUCACCAUGACCAGAUGAAUGCCAGUGGGAUGAUAGUGCCAAGUAACAGUGCCAAUUCAAGUGAAGUUGAUAAUGCCAGCUUUACUUCCAUCAUUUCUAAUUCGUGGGCACCAGCAAAGGUGUUGAAGGGAAUGUGGCCCUUCCCACGGCCCCUCUCCCCAAUUGCCCCCUCACCCCGCAGUACCCCACCCAGAACCCCAGAGUCCUCACCACGUUAUCCAGAGUCUCCUUCCAUCAACAUCCAUAUGAACCCCAUACCUGUCCAAAACCCUUCACACCACUCUCUUGACCCAAUGCCAGAACCCUUAAGCAAUUCUCCUCCCAGACCCACUCUCCUAAACAUUCAGCCAGAACUCAGCUUUCAACAGUUGCCGUCAGUCACACCUCCGCCUCUUGAUAUCAAGCCCAUCUAUGAGGCUGAAAGUCCAGAUGAGUUGGCCCUGGUGGAUGCUGCCUACAAGUAUGGGUUUCGCCUCUUAAGGAGAUCUCUGCACAAUAUUCUGGUAUCCAUCCCAGGCCUUGGUCUGUGUGAAUAUGAGGUGCUUCACGUGCUGCCAUUUGACUCUAAUCGGAAGAGGAUGUCCAUCAUUGUGAGACACCCACACACCUAUCAGAAGAUUCUCUACUGCAAGGGAGCGGAUUCUGCAAUCCUUGAUAACUUGUCUCGAGACGUGGAUGAACAGACAAAACUGCGAGUGUUUCGCACUCAGCAGCACCUCAAUACUUACUCCAAGCUUGGGCUGAGGGUUUUGUGCAUGGCAAAACGUGUCCUGAGUGACUCUGAGUAUGAAUCUUGGGCAGCAGGACACAGUGUGGCCGAAAAUUCCCUGGGUGGCCGGGAACGCAAGCUACAUGAUUCUUACUGUAGGAUCGAAAAAAAUCUCAAUUUGUUAGGUGCUACAGGAAUAGAGGAUCGGCUGCAAGAUGGAGUCCCGGAGACUAUCCAAGCAUUACGCAAGGCAGGGAUAGUUGUGUGGGUCCUCACUGGGGACAAACAGGAGACUGCCAUUAAUAUUGCUUAUUCUUGUGCACUCUUCCAACCCACCAUGGAGAUACUAAAAUUAAAUGCAAGAACCAAAGACCAGGCAGAGCGCACCAUCAAUUUUUUCCUGCAACAAAUCCAGCAGCAGGAAGAGCUGAGGGAACUUUCUCAGUCCAAUGGAGAGUGUGUGCCUCCGGGCACCCAGUCCUCUGCUCCGGCCAAACAGCGAGGGCUUGUGGUGGAUGGAAGGACUCUUCUAUACAUCUUGGACCGACGAGCCAACCUUAAAAAAAAAUUCUUAAGUCUGGCCAAGCAGUGCAGUGCAGUUUUGUGUUGCCGAGCAACACCACUCCAAAAAGCACUCAUUGUGCGCAGUGCCAAGGACAGCCUCAAGGUGCUAACACUGGCUGUGGGUGAUGGUGCCAAUGAUGUCUCCAUGAUCCAGACAGCUGAUGUAGGAGUUGGGAUCUCAGGACUGGAAGGCAGGCAGGCUGUGAUGGCUUCAGAUUAUGCCAUUGCACGCUUUCGCCACCUGGAGAAGUUGUUGCUGGUACACGGCCACUGGUGCUAUAACCGCCUUGCACGCAUUAUACUCUACUUCUUCUACAAAAAUGCUUCCUUUGUGCUGAUUUUGCUGUGGUACCAACUAUACAAUGGCUUCAGUGGAAGCAGCAUGAUAGACCAAAUGUACCUGAUGGUUUUCAAUUUGUUCUUCACUUCCAUACCUCCCAUUGUUGUGGGAAUAUAUGACCAAGAUGCCCCUGAGGAAGUGUUGCUUGCUGAGCCUUACCUCUAUUCUCAAGGGCGUACCAGCUCUGUGUACCAGCCCAGCACCUUCUGGUUCAACAUACUGGAUGCACUCUACCAGUCUGUCAUCCUCUUCUUUGUUACUGCAUUGUGUUAUCAAGAAUCAACUGCAGGAAUGUAUGAGUUUGGCAUGACAGUGACUCAUGCCUGUCUCCUGGCUCAGUCACUCCAUAUAGCCAUUGAAACAAAAGCAUGGACUAUCUUACACAUUGGUGGUCUGGUUGCUUCCCUCCUACUCUUUUAUAUUUUUGGAGCACUCUAUACUGCUACCUGUCCUGCAUGUCUGGGGUCACCCAGUCAGUAUGGAGAACUCGGGCAUGCACUUGCCUCUCCAGUGCAUUGGCUUGCUGUUAUUCUGACAUCCAUCCUUGCUGUCCUUCCCAGGUUUGUGGUGCGAGCAUUGCAGUGCUCCCUGAAUCCUGAUGAAGUGACUCAAGCCUUGCUCCAGCACCACUCAUCGAGACUGAUGGAUUUCAUAGUGUCUUGGUCCGCCUCCACAUCCACAUCCUCUACUUACAGGUGCCGGGACCCAGACACCACUUAACACUUCCUGGGGCCAGACUCCAUACAUUACUGUCAUGCACUCAUGCAGAUCCAAUUUAGUUGUUGUUCUCCAGUUACAGUUUUAUACAAAAAUGUAAUUAAAUUGAGGUUACCAUGCAGAAUGCAUACAUAACAUAGUUAUUUAUGUACACAGAAGAUUGGUCUAGCAGUUAAUUUCUACUUGAUUUUAUUAACUGAAAAUACCUGUCACUGUUAUAAGGCAAAUCCUACAGUUUGGUUUAAAUGUUAACUAAUGUUUGCCAAGUUAUUUGGUGUAAAUGUGGAUGUGCAAGAAGUGAUGAUGAGUGUGUGGUAUGGUACUGCUCUGGCCCCAGCCUCUCCUUGUGACCUUGACUUCUUUCCAGACCUGGUGUCCACCACAAGGAAGGAGAGGAAGAGGAGGAUGCGUCUGAUCCAUACAGCUCUCUUGUCACCACGACCACUGUUGUCACUACCACUGAUGAAGCUGAAGUGUAGUACCACUACUCAGGAAACCAUCUUGGCUGUGGAAAUAAUAAUUAGUUGCCUCUGGAAGUGCUAGUGACAGUAAUGAUAACUAGUUGGAAAAUGUGUGAAACACUUGAGGGCAAAGUUCCUUAUGAUCAUGUGAAACAGUGAUGUUGUCUCCUCCAGAACACAUUUCAACAGUGGCUGUUGUCCUUAUUCAUGUAAGAAAUACAAUUAUAUGGCAGCCUCCUUCUGAUUCAUUAUAAAACAAUAGCCAUAACAGUGCUACAGUUACUCUUUGAUUCAGCCGUUAUGUAAUUGUGCUUAACAGUGCUAUUGUAAAUAACUAUACACAAAUCUGAGUGAGUGUCCAGAUGAAGAGAUAAUUUAUUUUUGUGUGAAAAUUACAAAAAAGAAAAUGAUCUAUAUAAUGAAACCUCUUGUGAUAACUUGUGCUUACUGCUGUCUCUGUGUUAAAGUAUUCCAGUACUGGAGUAAUUCAGGACACCACAGCAACAGAGGAUGCCUACAUUUCACCCCAUUGCUACUUAUAUGGAGUCACACAUGGAUUCCAUGUCAGAAGCUUCAGUCAUGCCAUAUAAGAUAAAAGAAGCACUUAGAUAUAAAUUGACUGCCAGUGUUGUUGUGGUCACUCACCUGCUCUUUACUUUCACUCAUUGAGCUUCCACAUGAAAGAAAGUGAUGGGCAUACCAACUCCUGCGGCAAGUGCUAGGAUCCCUUGAUGCUGGGCAGAGGCAGGCCACAUGCGCAGCCACCCUGCCUCUUUUGUGGUAAGGAACUAAGAAAUGAGGGAAAUCAUACUGGGCUUUCAUGAUACUGUAUAUAAGUGAAGUUAUUUUUUUAUAUGAGGAAUUCAGAUUAUUAAGAUGGUGUGACAGAAUAAUUAUCAGGGAAUGUACAUAUUAUGCAGUUAUAUUUCUGUUAAAAUGGCUGUUAAUUUAGUGCUUGGCUCCCAGUGUCGGAUGGAGCAAUCAGUAUUAUGUUUACAGUUUGUUUAAUAUUCAGAAUGAGAUAAAACUGGAUGAGUAAUAAAGGAAUGUACAAAUUAGAUAGACCAGUAUAAUAGAAUUGGUCAGACAGACAGUAAUUAAACUUAAAUUUAAAGUGAAUGCAUGCAUAUCUACUAGUUUAUGAUGUUAAUUCCAGCUUUGGCAGGGCAGAUGUUAAGUUAUACAUGAAAUUAUUGUGGAUUUUCGACCAUCAGUGCUUGUGUCUUAAGAUGCUCAAGGUAUAUCAUCUCACUUAGUGCAAGUGGUGAAUUAUAGUAAUUGCAUACUGUUUUUAAUCUUUGAUCAUUUGUUAAUCUUUGUAAAUUUGCUCAUAUCCUUUAUGUGCUGAAUUUUUGGUUUAGUGAUAAAGUUUUGCUAUGCUGUUUUGGUGAUAUUUUUGUACAGCAUCAUACAAUAGACAGAGAAGCCUGAAAAUUUAGUUUAUUUUUCAGGCACAGCAGCAUAUUAAUUUAAUUACUUUGAUUUUUGUCAAAUGCUCAUAGAAAGAAAAGAAAUAAAAAAAAAGGAGAAUGCAUGUGUUAUAUUGUAAAGCAUAAGUGAGGAGUGUGUGUGUGUGUCAUGGGUGUAGCUACUGCUUCUCACUUGCUGGCUCUGCUAUGGCACCUUGGCACACCUCACCAUCUGAGUUGAGGAUCAGGUCUCUGAAUCUAAGAAAAUCUGUUAUUUUUAAGCAUCUACAACUUAAAGAGUUUCACAUAUUUCAUGUUUCCUUUUUUUGUUAAGUAUCUUUAUUUCAAAGUAUGAAGACUUAUGAUUGAAAUAGCUGGAUUUGACAUCAUACACCUGUAGCAAAAAAUUACUAUAUUAACAUUAUUGGGAAAAAAAUGUAAAUGAUGAUGAACUAUAAUUUAACUAUUUAUAUGAGUAAAGCACAGUGGAUGGUGUACAAAGCUGAUCCCUGUUGCUCAUCAGUUAAUGGAAAGAUCCACUCCUUGAUAAAGUUAGUGAUAACUGCCAUUCUCAGUAAUGUAACAGGAUAGAACUGCCAUAGCCAUCCUUACUGUAACUAUCCCUCCAUUACUACUAUGUGUCAUGUCUUGCUGCAACCAUCACCACUAUUACUGCCACUGCUACCCUGUUCCUCUUCUACUGCUGUAAUUGCUAUUAAGAAAUAAGAAAAACAAAAACAACAUCAUACAUAACCACCAUUACUACUGCUACAUCACAACCACCACCACCACCACUACUACUACUACUACUACUACUGUAGACACUGCUAGUGGCAAUGCUUUCACUACUACUAUUACUGCAACUACUACUUUUACUGCCAUUACUGUAAUUACUACUUCAACUACUACCGCAAGUUCCACUAACUUUGUAUUAGUAUGCACAGCUAGUCAGGCUAAUGUUUUGUUACUGACUCACAGUACUGUUACUCACUCAUCAGAACUUAGAGCAACAACCACCAGUAUAAAGAACCACCAUGCUAUUAUUAUAAGAAUUAUAGUAAACCUGGCCACUAUGUUGUCAACACCAUCACCACUACUGUUUGUAAGUGUAUAUUUCUGAUGCUGUUUCAGAACUCUCCACAUUAUUAUUAUUAUUGUUUUUUUUUUUAAUUCAUUCAUUUAUUUAUUCUUUAAUUUUAUUUUAUUACUGUUUUCAUGUUGAAUGCUCCACUUUUCCAUAGGUUGUUGUCCCUCAUAUUCUUAAGUAUGUCAUAUUAUGUUACUUUGUGUGUGUGUGUGUGUGUGUGUGUGUGUGUGUGUGUGUGUGUGUGUGUGUGUGUGUGUGUGUGUGUGUGUGUGUGUGUGUGUGUGUGUGUGUGUGUAAUAUGCAGACUCACUCACUCACUCAGUAUGGAUAGAGACAAAGCAAGGAAUGGUAGUGCUGGAGUGGAGAUGAGUAUAAAUAAUGCAAAAUGGGAUAGAAAUUAAUAUUAUUUUGCUUACUGAUGAUAUUUUCUAGGUAGAAAAAAAAAUAAUAAUAAUAAUAUGUACUGUAAUUCACUUCAGUACUAUUUGCGAAAGGAAAGGUUAAUGUAGUAAUGGGUAGGGUGAUGGUUUAUGUGAAAAAAAAAUGUUGAUUUUGCACAUCAUUGAACUCAUGCCAGAAAUAAGAUACAACAAAACUUAAUGACUUUGUACACUAUACACACACACACACACAAAAAAAAAAAAAAAAAAAAAAAAAUGACCAUCAUUCUUCCAUUCUCUACAAGUAUGGAAAUGUAGGGAGAAGCAACAGUGAGAGGGAAGGCAGUGAGGAUGGAAGUAGAACAGGCACUUCAGGAUGUAUUAGUUCUGGCCAGCUUAUGCAACAGAGAGCUAGAGUGACAAGAAUAAAAUCCCUAGAAUCCAAACAUUGGCAUUUAGAUAUUUUGCUAAGUGUCUCUAUUGUGAUAAGCUGGGAUGGUGAGAAUGAUGAGUGUAUAUGGAAAGUUAUCUCAUCUCAGUUCAUGACACAUCUCGUCAAGCAAUGAUGAAUCAAUCAACUGGGUAAGAUUAUGUUCAUGCACAACCCAGGAAGAAACCGAAGUUUCCUUCUCAUGGCAUACUUAGCAUUUGGCUUAUUUAUCAUUACUCAUCUUCACUCCAUAAAGACAAAGGAUAAGCUAUAAAAUACUGGUUACUUUGUCUAGCAGUGAGGAGCCAACCAAUGUGAGAGAGAGAGAGAGAGAGAGAGAGAGAGAGAGAGAGAGAGAGAGAGAGAGAGAGAGAGAGAGAGAGAGAGAGAGAGAGAGAGAGAGAGAGAGAGAGAGUCAGCACCACAACAGUACACCAAGGGCUGCACCAGGCUAUCAAUGUGCGUGUAUUUCAUGUUAACAUCAUUCCUCAGUUAUGUAUGUGGUGUUGCUUGGCUUCAAUUUGUAAUUGCCUUCUCAUUUUGAUGUAUUUUUCUAUUCUGCAAUUUUUUUAGUAUUCUGUGCAAAAAAGAGAGUUCAUCUGAUGCCUACUCUAUGCCUGGAACCUCCAGGCAUAGUCAUGAAUGACACUGUAUUUUGCAGACAAAUGAUGGCAAAAAGAUUGUUAUUACUGUUAUAUAUCUUUUGUACACAAUUGUACACACAUUGUAAGUUGCAUAUGUAAUUUUUAAUUAUAUUUGUAUGUAAUGGCAGAAAGAGCUCUUUUAGAAGAAAAAUAUAGUGACGCUAGCUCACUUAUUAUUGAUGUUUCCUUGAAAAGCUGUAAAAGUGAUACACUCAAAACUUACUUUUGGUUAAUGCAUUACUACUUCAUGAUACACAUUACAUAACUACAUUAGACAUCAACAUUUCAUCAUUAUCCUCUUUUUUCAUUUUGUUUUUUUAAUCUUAAGCACCAAACCACAGCCCCAUGGUAUAUAAUGUUGAUUGUAUCAAAGAUGCCAUAAAGAAUUGCAAUUUCCUCAGCCUUACAGUCAACAAUUUUUCAUAUUUAUUUUGAAUAUUAAUUUCUUUCCUUUUUUCUCUCUCUCUCUCUCUCUCUCUCUCUCUCUCUCUCUCUCUCUCUCUCUCUCUCUCUCUCUCUCUCUCUCUCUCUCUCUCUCUCUCAUAAACUUUCAUCUACAUUUUUUGUGGUCCUGUGCAUAUUCAGGUGUUCAAAUCUUUUUGUAUUUAGAUAAUCAUUUUUGUGAUUUAUCUUAAUCUUGACAUCUAUUGUAGAAUUGGGUAUGCAUAAAUUCUCAGCCCAUGCAACAUACGGUUUACUUAAAUAAGAAAUAUUAUUUAAGUUAAAACUGACACUAUGGACAUCUGCUGAACCUGAGGAACUUGUAAUCUUUUAAAGCUGUAGAAUGGAUAACUUGUCAUUUUUUUAAAUGGAUUCCUUUGCAUCCCUUGAAAAAUUUCCAUUUUGCAGUACAGCAAACCUGAAUGUUUUGUUUAAAAACUAUGUAAAAGCUGUACAUCCUAUUUUACUCACCCAAGUUAUGUACAUCAGAACUCCGUAGUAAACUGCUAACAUGUGACAAUCCAUUUGUAAAUUCAAACAUUUCUAAUAUUCAUAUUCAAUUUUUAUUUACAAAGCUUACAUGUUAUUUUGUUCACAGGCAUUCAUCUAGAAUUAAGUGUCUUUUUUGUUUAUUUUGUAAAUAUAGAUGGUAUUUGUUCUUCAGAUUUGGUAGUUGUUAUGCCAGUGUCCCUGAAAAGAGAGGUAGCCAAGACCAGGGCCCUAUUUAUACAAACCCAUCCCCUUUCACACACACACAAACACACACACACACACACACUAUAUAAUAAAUACUAAAUUAUUUUAACAAUAAUAAUAAUAAUAAUAAUUUAUAAAACCAAACAAAGUUAUGUAUAUGGCUAUAAUUUUGUGCAGAAUACAUAUGAUAGAGUGAGAACACAGUGAGGAAGUGUCAUAGCAGUAUAACAAGCCUAAAGUCAGUGAGGAUGGUGCAGUAAUCCUGUCACUAACAUUCCUAUAUUGUAUGGAGAAAAAUAGUGUUAAUUGUGUCUGAAUUGUGUUUUGAAUGCAUUUAGUUUUGUUACGUGACUGUCACACAUUACUUUAUUUGAGGCGAGUCUUUUUUUAUGUAAACAGAUUAUAUUUUUUUGUCAUUUUUCACCAGAAAAUAUUGCAGCACAAAGUCUUGACUUGUGAAAUAAUUAGAAAAAUUACUUUGAUGGCCAUAAUAAAUAUUUUGCUGUUUUUGGUGAAA